AUAAUUCAAACCCUAGAUCUGACGAUCGAUGCUCCACCACAAAGAUCGUCAAAUCGCACUGCACAACCGAAGAAGUCUAGCCUGACAAAUUCAUCAGAAAGUGUGAGAAAACCGAGCAGAUUCUCAGGGACUGUGUUGGAAGCUAAAACUACCCUAUCAAAUUGUGGCUAUUGUUUCCGGUGCUUUGAAUGAUGCAGCUGCAAAGAAGUAUGAUUUGGAAGGAUGGUUUCCUGCAUCCAACAUUUACAGAGAGCUUGUUUCCUGUUCAAACUGCACUGACUACCAGUCCAGGAGAUUAGAGAUUCGAUAUGGGUAGAAAAAGGGUAGACUAGUAGUUAUAUUUUUGGAUACACUAGUAGUUAUAUUUUUGGAUGGGUGUGUAUAGAAAAUAUUUAGUAGACUAGUAGUUAUAUUUUUCGGUUGAUGUACAUGGAUAAAAAUUUUAAACAUAAUAACAAGUAUUUGUUAUGUCUUAAAUUUUUAUGUUAGAUGAAAUAUGUAGUUUGGAAUUAUUUGUGGAUGAAAACUUAUAAUAGUUGCUGAUUUUAAUUAAACAGGUUCAGAAAUGGUUGAUCUAUGUA